rnacentral:rRNA from 1 species
AUUUUCCGCAAUGGGCGAAAGCCUGACGGAGCAAGACCGCGUGGGGGAAGAAGGCUCUUGGGUUGUAAACCCCUUUUCUCUGGGAAGAACAAAAUGACGGUACCAGAGGAAUCAGCAUCGGCUAACUCCGUGCCAGCAGCCGCGGUAAGACGGAGGAUGCAAGCGUUAUCCGGAAUGAUUGGGCGUAAAGCGUCCGUAGGUGGCAGUUCAAGUCUGCUGUCAAAGACCGGGGCUCAACCUCGGAAAGGCAGUGGAAACUGAACAGCUAGAGUAUGGUAGGGGCAAAGGGAAUUCCUGGUGUAGCGGUGAAAUGCGUAGAGAUCAGGAAGAACAUCGGUGGCGAAGGCGCUUUGCUGGACCAUAACUGACACUGAGGGACGAAAGCUAGGGGAGCGAAUGGGAUUAGAUACCCCAGUAGUCCUAGCCGUAAACGAUGGAUACUAGGUGUUGUCUGUAUCGACCCGGACAGUGCCGUAGCUAACGCGUUAAGUAUCCCGCCUGGGGAGUACGCACGCAAGUGUGAAACUCAAAUGAAUUGACGG